AUUCUUUUAGUAUUAAAUAGUACAGUUGACUUCCAAUCAAUUAGCUCUGGUAUACCCCAGAAAAGAAUA